rnacentral:rRNA from 1 species
AUUGAACGCUGGCGGCAGGCCUAACACAUGCAAGUCGAACGAGUGGCGGACGGGUGAGUAAUGUCUGGGAAACUGCCUGAUGGAGGGGGAUAACUACUGGAAACGGUAGCUAAUACCGCAUACCAUCGGAUGUGCCCAGAUGGGAUUAGCUAGUAGGUGGGGGAAAGGGUCACCUAGGCGACGAUCCCUAGAUGGUCUGAGAGGAUGACGAGCCAAACUGGAAGUGAGACACGGUCCAGACUCCUACGGGAGGCAGCAGUGGGGAAUAUUGCACAAUGGGCGCAAGCCGGAUGCAGCCAUGCCGCGUGUAUGAAGAAGGCCUUCGGGUUGUAAAGUACUUUCAGCGGGGAGGCGUUACCCGCAGAAGAAGCACCGGCUAACUCCGUGCCAGCAGCCGCGGUAAUAC